rnacentral:rRNA from 1 species
AUUGAACGCUAGCGGGAUGCCUUACACAUGCAAGUCGAACGGAGUGGCGAACGGGUGAGUAAUGUCUCGGAACGUGCCCAGUAGCGGGGGAUAACUACGCGAAAGCGUAGCUAAUACCGCAUACUAUUGGAGCAGCCGACAUCGGAGUAGCUUGUUGGUGGGGUAACGGCUCACCAAGGCGACGAUCCGUAGCUGGUUUGAGAGGACGACCAGCCACCCUGAGACUGAGCCGCGGCGCAGACUCGUACGGGGGGCAGCAGUGGGGAGUUUUAGACGAUGGGGGAAACCCUGCUCCAGCCAUACGGCGUGUGCGAUGAAGGCCUUCGGGUUGUAAAGCACUUUUGGCAGGAAAGCGGUACCUGCAGAAUAAGCACCGGCUAACUACGUGCCAGCCGCCGCGGUAAUAC